rnacentral:rRNA from 1 species
AUUGAACGCUGGCGGCAGGCCUAACACAUGCAAGUCGAACGAGUGGCGGACGGGUGAGUAAUAUCUGGGACACCGCGUGAUGGAGGGGGAACUCUACUGGAAACUGUAGAAAAUACCGCAUAACCUGGGAAGCGCCCAGAUGGGAUUAGCUAGUAGGUGGGGUAACGGCUCACCUAGGCGACUAUCCCUAGCUGGUCUGAGAGGAUGACCAGCCACACUGGGACUGAGACACGGUCCAGACUCCUACGGGAGGCAGCAGUGGGGAAUAUUGCACAAUGGGCGCAAGCCUGAUGCAGCCAUGCCGCGUGUGUGAAGAAGGCCUUAGGGUUGUAAAGCACUUUCAGCGGGGAGGCGUUACCCACAGAAGAAGCACCGGCUAACUCCGUGCCAGCAGCCGCGGUAAUUC